rnacentral:lncRNA from 1 species
CGCGCAUGCCCAGUAAAAGGCAUCAAAAGCAAUGCUCCAUUAUCUGAUAAAUUCCAUAUUUAUCUCAUUGAAUUAGCAUUUGAAUCUGAUCAUUAUCAAGAAAAGAUAUCAGAUAAUAGUGUAGCCUAAGACUCCUUAAAAUAGAAGGAGUCAUCUCACCUCUUCGCAUGAUCAAAAACAUCUUGCACGCACAGCUUGGUUCCAGGAG